rnacentral:pre_miRNA from 1 species
GCUGACAGAAGAGAGUGGGCACACAUAGCUCCUAGCAUUUCCUGUGUGGGGGGCGCUGCGUGCCCAUAGCUCUUUCUGUCAGC